rnacentral:rRNA from 1 species
UACGGAGGAUGCAAGCGUUAUCCGGAAUGAUUGGGCGUAAAGCGUCCGCAGGUGGCAAUGUAAGUCUGCUGUCAAAGCGUCUGGCUCAACCAGAUAAAGGCAGUGGAAACUACAUAGCUAGAGUAAGGUAGGGGUAGAGGGAAUUCCUGGUGUAGCGGUGAAAUGCGUAGAGAUCAGGAAGAACACCGGUGGCGAAAGCGCUCUGCUGGACUGCAACUGACACUCAGGGACGAAAGCUAGGGGAGCGAAUGGG